UGAAUACGAGACGCUAAGGCGUCGAAGUAGUGUAUGUCAUACUUCCAAGAAAAGCUUGCACUGUCAUAGAUAAAAAACGCCUGUACCAUAACCGACACAGGUGGGUAGGUAGAGUAUACUAAGGGGCGCGAGAUAACUCUCUCUAAGGAACUCGGCAAAAUAACUCCGUAACUUCGGGAGAAGGAGUGCCUUAUUCGUAAGGUUGCAAUAACAAGAUCCAAGCAACUGUUUAUCAAAAACACAGGUCUCCGCUAAGUCGUAAGACGAUGUAUGGGGGCUGACGCCUGCCCAGUGCCAGAAGGUUAAAGAAGUUGGUUAGCAAUUGCGAAGCUGAUAACUGAAGCCCUGGUGAACGGCGGCCGUAACAAUAACGGUCCUAAGGUAGCGAAAUUCCUUGUCGGGUAAGUUCCGACCCGCACGAAAGGCGUAAUGAUUUGGAUACUGUCUCGGAGAGGGGCUCGGUGAAAUAGACUUGUCUGUGAAGAUGCGGACUACCUGCACCAGGACAGAAAGACCCUAUGAAGCUUUACUGUAACUUGAAAUUGAAAUUGGACUUUGUUCGCGCAGUAUAGGUGGGAGGCGUUGAUUAUAAUCUUGUGGGAUUAUUGGAGCCAUCAGUGAGAUACCACUCUUGUAAUGUUAGAUUUCUAACUUUGAAUCAUUAUAUGGUCAAAGAACAGUUUCAGGCGGGCAGUUUGACUGGGGCGGUCGCCUCCUAAACGGUAACGGAGGCGUACAAAGGUUUCCUCUGAACGGUUAGAAAUCGUAUCUAGAGUGUAAAGGCAUAAGGAAGCUUGACUGUGAGACCUACAAGUCGAGCAGGGACGAAAGUCGGUCUUAGUGAUCUGACGGUACUGAGUGGAAAGGCCGUCACUCAACGGAUAAAAGUUACUCUAGGAUAACAGGCUGAUCUCCCCCAAGAGUUCACAUCGACGGGGAGGUUUGGCACCUCGAUGUCGGCUCAUCGCAUCCUGGGGCGGUAGUACGUCCCAAGGGUUGGGCUGUUCGCCCAUGAAAGCGGUACGCGAGCUGGGUUCAGAACGUCGUGAGACAGUUCGGUCCAUAUCCGGUGUAGGCGUUAGAAUAUUGAGAGGAGCCUUCUUUAGUACGAGAGGACCGAGAAGGACAUACCUCUGGUGUACCAGUUAUCGUGCCAACGGUAAACGCUGGGUAGCUAUGUAUGGAGUGGAUAACCGCUGAAAGCAUCUAAGUGGGAAGCCCACCUCAAGAUAAG
rnacentral:rRNA from 1 species